UGCUCUCUGCGCUUCCGAAAUCUGAAGAAGAGUACGAACACGUUUCACAGUCAAAUGCAUGCGAGCGUUUCUCACAGACCCGUGACCGAAGCAAAUCUCAAAGCUCUAGAAGGAAUAUUGUCAAGCUCCGUCGGCGAGCAAAUAGCAACCGCGACUCCAUUCCCGAUCAGGCAGCAUAUCCUUAGAUGAACGAGUCGGCCGUGAUACACCUCGAUGAGACGCCAUUCCUUUAGCCGGAGAAGACCGCGGUUAGAGGCCACAAUAGUCAAUUCUUUCUUCAUCAUUUGAAUGUGCAUAUAUGUGUUUGUUUUUCUGGAAUUGGUUAUUGUUUGAGAUGUAUGUUCUCGGUUAUCUUGACGUUGUUGGGACUGGUCUGGUGUUAGCCGAAGUGGUGGCCAGCGAAGAGGACUUGGUGACGGUGGGCAACAUUGGAUGUCGACGUGGGACCGUUUGGAGUUCCUCCGUGAGUUCGUUUAAUGAAGUAACAGUGUUGAGCUCGCCGCGUUGGAGAGCUCUCGGUGAAGUCUCGGGAGGGAAGAAUGGCAAAAAGGAAAAUAAAGAAAAAAGGAAAAUAUAAAAAAAGCGGCUGAAUAUGUCGAAUCUGGGUCGGGUCAAACUUAUUAGUGGACCGGGCUAGAAUUAUCAACGGACUAGGCCGGGCCAAACAUUUAAUUUCAAUGUUUGGGCCAUACUCGGGCCAGGCUCUAAGUCUGACCCAAGUUUAGACUCCAACCCGGACUGCUAGGGUCUGUGUCAGACCAUUGGUUGGCACCGAGUUAGCCGAAGUCCAUUUUCUAGAAUUAAAAAAUUAAAAAUGGAAAAUUUC